UAAAAGGAACACAGUAUUUUGGGAGAAAAACUUUGUCUUAGUGCUUAUGAAAGGUGUAAUUAAGCUCCCGCGCCGGCUCUGGGGAGGCUGCGGCGUCCGGGCGCUGACGAGACAGCUUUACAGAGUCAUACUGAUCAGAUUUGAUAGAGGCAGACCGCCUGAAAAUUUAUUCAGGAGAAUCAAACAAAACGACAUCUCAGUGCCUGUACACAGCCUGAUAGAGUUAAUGUAAUUGGGUUGUGAGUAAAAAUACUCAGGGCUGUGUUUCACUUCCAUACCAUUGGCGAAUGUCGGUCGUACUGUUCAGAUAUCUCUCAGUGUCUUACAGAAUUGGGUUUCAACACGUUGGUGGACUAGUCCAGGAAUUGAGACAAUCCAUCGCCCAUAUCAGCUCCACUGGAUGGAUAGUCGCCGUGAACACCAUCUGGCUUUUUCCCCUCUUUGUCUAUUGUUUGUCUCUGGUGCACCAGGCUGUCCAUGUCUGUCAGUUUAUGUCUGUGGUUUUUGUUGUUGUAUAAAUGUUUUAUGUUUCAUGUUCAAAAGAAAAAAUGGUAAAAAA
rnacentral:lncRNA from 1 species